AAUUUUGUACAAUGGGGUAAACCCUGAUCCAGCCAUCCCGCGUCUGCGAUGAAGGCCUUCCGGUUGAAAAGCACCUUUGGCAGGCCAGCAAAGGCUCUGGCUAAUACCUGGAGCUGCUGACGGUACCUGCACAAUACGCACUGGCUAACUACGCGCCAGCAGCUGCGGUAAUACGUAGGGUCAAAGCGUUAAUCGGAAUUACUGGGCGUAAAGCGUGCGCAGGCGAUUUGGCAAGAAGAAUGUGAAAUCCCAGGGCUUAACCUUGGAACUGCAUUCUUAACUGAAAGGCUAGAGUAUGUCAGAGGGGGGUAGAAUUCCACGUGUAGCAGUGAAAUGCGUAGAUAUGUGGAGGAAUACCGAUGGCGAAGGCAGCCCCCUGGGAUAAUACUGACGCCCAGACACGAAAGCGUGGGGAGCAAACAG
rnacentral:rRNA from 1 species